rnacentral:rRNA from 1 species
ACGUAGGGUGCGAGCGUUGUCCGGAAUUACUGGGCGUAAAGAGCUCGUAGGUGGUUUGUCGCGUCGUCUGUGAAAUUCCGGGGCUUAACUCCGGGCGUGCAGGCGAUACGGGCAUAACUUGAGUGCUGUAGGGGAGACUGGAAUUCCUGGUGUAGCGGUGAAAUGCGCAGAUAUCAGGAGGAACACCGAUGGCGAAGGCAGGUCUCUGGGCAGUAACUGACGCUGAGGAGCGAAAGCAUGGGGAGCGAACAG